UUAGAUGGUGUUUAGAUGGUGUUUAGGUGGUGUUUAGGAGGUGUUUAGGUGGUGUUUAGAUGGUGUUUAGGUGGUGUUUAGAUGGUAUUUAGAUGGUGUUUAGGAGGUGUUUAGGUGGUGUUUAGAUGGUGUUUAGAUGGUGUUUAGAUGGUGUUUAGGUGGUGUUUAG